CUUUGUUGUCCAGAAAAGAGAGAAGAUCAACAUUAGAAAGAAUAAUAUUAAGGACUUCUGAUCACUAUUAGAAGGCUCUGUUUCAUCCAAAUCCCCUGGCAAAGCCUAGCAGGGGGAGAGGGAACGGGGGCAGUCCACGCGGAGGUAGCAAGACUACACCCCUCACCCCACACCUCCCUGGACCUCGCGCUGCUGUUCCGGUUCGGGAAAAAUUUCUCGUAAAAUGCGGUGGAGACGCUUCACUCCAGACGGAGAAUAAGAGGAAGAUAAGAAAGCAGGUUCUGUAUGACCUCAUGCUGGAUAUUACUUUAGAAGACUCUGUAACUAUUGGCUUGAAGCCCAGCAGCAGUUGCCCACCCGGGGCUGUGAGCGGGUAACUUCUGCGCUGUUGGUGUUACACUUACAGUAUGUAUAUGGACUGUGUGUGACAUCGUGUGCGCGUGUGUGUGUCUGUGCAUGUGCUAGGAGGAACGUGUUCUGCAGCUGAAGCUCGCACCAGUCGCGGGAGGGCCAUCGAGCGCGAGCGGACGAGGGGGGAGGUUUCGGGGUUGGUGGUCUGGG
rnacentral:lncRNA from 1 species